rfam:Helianthus annuus linkage group 14, whole genome shotgun sequence.
AUGGCUCAAUGGUUGAGUGGUUGUUUUCAAAAUCAAAGGUCAUGGGUUCAAAUCCUGUU